UAACGUCUUCAGGGCGGGGCGAAACUCCCCACCGGCGGUAGGCGCGGCAACGCGCGAGCCCGCGAGCGCCUGCGGAUCCCGGCCUCGGCCGCGCGAACCGCAGGGUCAGCAGAUCCGGUCCAAUGCCGGAGCCGACGGUCACAGUCCGGAUGAAAGAAGACGGCU
rnacentral:ncRNA from 1 species